GAUCAUGGCUCAGAGUGAACGCUGGCGGCGUGCCUAAUACAUGCAAGUCGAACGGAGAUUAAGUAGCUUGCUAUUUAAUCUUAGUGGCGCACGGGUGAGUAAUGUAUAGUUAAUCUGCCUCAUAGUGGAGGACAACAGUUAGAAAUGACUGCUAAUACUCCAUACUCCUUCUUAUCAUAAGUUAAGUCGGGAAAGUUUUUCGCUAUGGGAUGAGACUAUAUCGUAUCAG
rnacentral:rRNA from 1 species